CGGAGGCUACCGCUAUUGGAGUUCGAUUAAGCCAUGCGAGUCGCGAGUCUUAGGGACUCGGCGUACCGCUCAGUAACACGUGGGUAACCUGCCCUAUGCUGGGGAAUAACCUCGGGAAACUGAGAAUAAUGCCCCAUAGUUCACCACGCCUGGAACGGUGGGUGGAUCAAAGCUCCGGCGGCAUAGGAUGGGCCUGCGGCGUAUCAGGUCGUAGGGGGUGUAAUGUACCCUCUAGCCAUCGACGCGUACGGGUGUUGGGAGACAUUGCCCGGAGAUGGAUUCUGAGACACGAAUCCAGACCCUACGGGGUGCAGCAGGCGCGAAAACUUGGCAAUGCGAGAAAUCGUGACCAGGGAACUCCAAGUGCAUCGGGUAAGACCGAUGCUUUUCUUGACUCUUCAACGGUCUUGGAAUAAGGGGUGGGCAAGGACGGUGCCAGCCGCCGCGGUAAUACCGGCGCCUCAAGUGGUAGUCGCUUUUAUUGGGCCUAAAACGUCCGUAGCCGGUUUGGUACAUUCGUGGGUAAAUCAAGGCGCUCAACGUCUUGAAUUCUGCGAGCACGGCCAGACUUGGGACCGGGUGAGGUGUGGGGUACUCUCAGGGUAGGGGUAAAAUCCUGACAUCCUGAGAGGACCACCUGUUGCGAAGGCGCCACACUAGAACGGAUCCGACGGUCAGGGACGAAGCCUAGGGGCACGAACCGGAUUAGAUACCCGGGUAGUCCUAGGUGUAAGCGCUGUGGACUUGAUGUUGGGAGUGCUCCGAGCACCCUCAGUGUCGAAGCGAAGGUGAUAAGUCCACUGCCUGGGGAGUACGGUCGCAAGGCUGAAACUUAAAGGAAUUGGCGGGG
rnacentral:rRNA from 1 species